CCCUUAGAGUUUGAUCCUGGCUCAGAACGAACGCUGGCGGCAGGCCUAACACAUGCAAGUCGAGCGAAGCCUUCGGGUUUAGCGGCGGACGGGUGAGUAACGCGUGGGAAUAUGCCCUUUGGUACGGAACAGUCCCGGGAAACUGGGUUUAAUACCGUAUGUGGUCCUUCGUAGUGGAUACGGGGGACGAAAGAUUUAUCGCCAAAGGAUUAGCCCGCGUUGGAUUAGGUAGUUGGUGGGGUAACGGCCUACCAAGCCGACGAUCCAUAGCUGGUUUGAGAGGAUGAUCAGCCACACUGGGACUGAGACACGGCCCAGACUCCUACGGGAGGCAGCAGUGGGGAAUCUUAGACAAUGGGGGCAACCCUGAUCUAGCCAUGCCGCGUGAGUGAUGAAGGCCUUAGGGUUGUAAAGCUCUUUCAGCUGGGAAGAUAAUGACGGUACCAGCAGAAGAAGCCCCGGCUAACUCCGUGCCAGCAGCCGCGGUAAUACGGAGGGGGCUAGCGUUGUUCGGAAUUACUGGGCGUAAAGCGCAUGUAGGCGGACCAGAAAGUUGGGGGUGAAAUCCCGGGGCUCAACCCCGGAACGGCCUUCAAAACUAUUGGUCUGGAGUUCGAGAGAGGUGAGUGGAAUUCCGAGUGUAGAGGUGAAAUUCGUAGAUAUUCGGAGGAACACCAGUGGCGAAGGCGGCUCACUGGCUCGAUA
rnacentral:rRNA from 1 species